UCAAGCUACAAAGGGCGCAUGGUGAAUGCCUUGGCAUCAGGAGCCGAUGAAGGACGUGAUAAGCUGCGAUAAGCUUCGGGUAGGCGCACAUAGCCAGUGAUCCGGAGAUUUCCGAAUGUGGGAACACACAUGGGAAACCCCAUGUAUCGUAUAGUGAAUAGCUUCUACGAUAUCGCCAUCCUUCAUAACCAGAAUCAAAUCAGCAUCACGACCUAGAGGAAGAGAAAGAAAAAUCGAUUUCCUUAGUAGCGGCGAGCGAAAGGGAAAGAGCCCAAACCAAAGAUUUAUCUUUGGGGUUGCGGACAGAGCAUUAACGAGAAGUCGUAACUAACUGAACAUAACUGGAAAGUUAGACCGUAGGAGGUAAUAGUCCUGUAGGUGAAAGUUAAGAUAAUCAAGUUCUGAUCCAGAGUACCACGAGACACGUGAAACCUUGUGGGAAGCAGGGAGGACCACCUCCCAAGGCUAAAUACUACCUGAUGACCGAUAGUGAAGCAGUACCGUGAGGGAAAGGUGAAAAGAACCCCGGGAGGGGAGUGAAAUAGAACCUGAAACCGUGUGCCUACAACCGGUCAAAGCCCCAUAUGAGGGUGAUGACGUGCUUUUUGUAGAACGAGCCAACGAGUUACGGUAUGUAGCAAGGUUAAGUACUUAAGGUACGGAGCCGAAGGGAAACCGAGUCUUAAUAGGGCGACUAGUUGCAUGCCGUAGACCCGAAACCGGGUGACCUAUCCAUGGCCAGGUUGAAGCGAGGGUAAAACUUCGUGGAGGACCGAACCACGUUGCUGUUGAAAAAGCAUGGGAUGAGCUGUGGAUAGCGGAGAAAUUCCAAUCGAACUCGGAGAUAGCUGGUUCUCCCCGAAAUAGCUUUAGGGCUAGCGUCGAGGUAAAGUCGUGUGAAGGUAGAGCACUGAAUAUGUGAUGGCCCCAUCUCGGGGUACUGAACAUAAUCAAACUCCGAAUGUCACAAAGAUAUACUCGGCAGUCAGACUGUGGGUGAUAAGGUCCAUUGUCAAAAGGGAAACAGCCCAGACCAUCAGCUAAGGUCCCAAAAUAUAUACUAAGUGGAAAAGGAUGUGGAGAUGUCCAGACAACUAGGAGGUUGGCUCAGAAGCAGCCAUCCUUUAAAGAGUGCGUAACAGCUCACUAGUCGAAUGACUCUGCGCCGAUAAUUUACCGGGGCUAAGUAUAUUACCGAAGCUAUGGAUUUACGCGUAAGCGUGAGUGGUAGGGGAGCGUUCUAUGUGCGGAGAAGCGGUACCGUAAGGAGCCGUGGAGCGCAUAGAAGAGAGAAUGCCGGUGUGAGUAGCGAAACGUGGGUGAGAAUCCCACGCACCGAAAACCCAAGGUUUCCAGAGGAAGGUUCGUCCGCUCUGGGUAAGUCGGGACCUAAGGCGAGGCCGAGAGGCGUAGUCGAUGGACAACAGGUAGAGAUUCCUGUACUUACGGUAUGAAUGAUGGAGUGACGGAGAAGGCUAGCGGAUCCUGCUGAUGGAAAUGCAGGUGCAAGCGAGGUAGCCGACAGCCAGGCAAAUCCGGCUGUCGAAAGGCAAAGGCGUGAGGCGUAUGGAAAGCUGCGGCAAGUACAGAAGUCCGUGAAGCCAGCUUCCAAGAAAAGCUUCUAGUGAUAAUCAUACAGUAACCCGUACCGAAAAUGGACACACAUGGGUGAGGAGAGAAUCCUAAGGUGAGCGAGAGAACUAUAGCUAAGGAACUCUGCAAAAUGACUCCGUAACUUAGGGAUAAGGAGUGCUCAUAGAGAUAUGAGCCGCAGUGAAACGGCCCAAGCGACUGUUUACCAAAAACACAGCUCUAUGCUAAGUCGAAAGACGACGUAUAUGGGGUGACGCCUGCCCGGUGCUGGAAGGUUAAGAGGAUGUGUCAGCGUAAGCGAAGCAUUGAAUUGAAGCCCCAGUAAACGGCGGCCGUAACUAUAACGGUCCUAAGGUAGCGAAAUUCCUUGUCAGGUAAGUUCUGACCCGCACGAAAGGCGU
rnacentral:rRNA from 1 species